rnacentral:rRNA from 1 species
UACGUAGGGGGCAAGCGUUGUCCGGAUUUAUUGGGCGUAAAGAGCGUGUAGGCGGCCAUACAGGUCCGUUGUGAAAACUGGAGGCUUAACCUCCAGACGUCGAUGGAAACCGUAUGGCUAGAGUCCGGAAGAGGAGAGUGGAAUUCCUGGUGUAGCGGUGAAAUGCGCAGAUAUCAGGAAGAACACCCGUGGCGAAGGCGGCUCUCUGGGACGGUACUGACGCUGAGAGCGAAAAGCGUGGGGGAGCGAACAGGG